GACGAACGCUGGCGGCGUGCUUAACACAUGCAAGUCGAACGGAAAGGCCCUGCUUUUGUGGUGUGCUCGAGUGGCGAACGGGUGAGUAACACGUGAGUAACCUGCCCUUGACUUUGGGAUAACUUCAGGAAACUGGGGCUAAUACCGGAUAGGAGCUCCUGCUGCAUGGUGGGGGUUGGAAAGUUUCGGCGGUUGGGGAUGGACUCGCGGCUUAUCAGCUUGUUGGUGGGGUAGUGGCUUACCAAGGCUUUGACGGGUAGCCGGCCUGAGAGGGUGACCGGCCACAUGGGGACUGGGAUACGGCCCAGACUCCAACGGGAGGCAGCAGUGGGGAAUAUUGCACAAUGGGCGGAAGCCUGAUGCAGCAACGCCGCGUGCGGGAUGACGGCCUUCGGGUUGUAACCCGCUUUCGCCUGUGACGAAGCGUGAGUGACGGUAAUGGGUAAAGAAGUACCGGCUAACUACGUG
rnacentral:rRNA from 1 species